rnacentral:lncRNA from 1 species
ACGAUUCUUCACAUAUCGUAGUAUAUCGUGGUACCAAAGGUGAUCAUUCUUUUUUCUUCCUCGAUGUUGUAAUAAUGACUCGAAGCCUCAUCAAUACUCAUCUGGAUAGGUUUUACAUCCUCUUAUUUAUUCACUUUAAUCAUGGAAGCUAAGGUAGCCAGGGUGUCAGCCAUUUGAUUGUCAUCUCGCGGAAGAUAGCAGAAAGUGAUGUUAUUAAACUCUUUAAUUAACUCUAGGACCAGCCUUU